UGUUCCUUAUGUUCUUAUGCUUGCCUCUCACCAUCUGGUUAUCUCUGGUGUUAUCUGGCCUCCCUGCCUCUGACUGGAGCCGGUCUUUCCUGUGAGCCUAUGAUCCAGAGAUCCUGUGAUACUGUGAUCCUGUGAUUCUGUGAUCCUGGAUGUGUCAGAAUACCUGGGAAGUGGAACUGCAACUGGCAUGUUGUCUGUGUGGGUUCGGGUCCGAUGCCUGGGCUCUGCUCCUGGCACAGUUUCAUCCAUUGGCCUGAAAAUUUCAAGAUGUCAUUUUUUUAACAGCUGAGUAAUACUCUACCAUAUCAAUGUACCACAUUUUUUUUCCAUUAUUCAGUUGAAGGAUAUCAAGGUUGUUUCCUGUUUCUCGCUAUUAUGAAUAAAGUUAUUAUGAGCAU